rnacentral:rRNA from 1 species
UACAGAGGUGGCAAGCGUUGUUCGGAAUUACUGGGCGUAAAGGGCGCGUAGGCGGUUCGUUAAGUCCUGUGUGAAAUCCCCCGGCUCAACUGGGGAACUGCACAGGAAACUAGCGGGCUUGAGUUCGGGAGAGGGAAGCGGAAUUCCGGGUGUAGCGGUGAAAUGCGUAGAUAUCCGGAGGAACACCGGUGGCGAAGGCG